GCUCCAUUUUGCACUGUACUUUGUUGGCCUCUUGGGAAAAACCUAAGCAGAGAUCAGAGCAAGAUAGUCUUUUGCAUUUUUGGAAUUUAACACAUUUGGGUUUGAUUCAAUUUUGGUACUGUUUUCGGAGUUAGUUACAUUGCUAUAGUGGAUAAUGGGAGACAAAUUAGGACAGAUCAAAGUGACUGUUAUAAAAGGAAGACGUUUGGUGAUUCGAGACUUCAAGACAAGUGAUCCUUAUGUCGUUCUCAAGCUUGGUAAUCAGGUAGCUUUGUGUUUCCCCCUUCUGUUCCUUCCUU
rnacentral:misc_RNA from 1 species